GCCUUGUUGGUGUAGUGGUAUCAUGCCCUCUUUGGGUGACGUUUUAGUCUCAUCUGGGGGUGGUCCUCGGUUCGAUCCCGGGACAAGGCC